ACGCGUUGGGAGCUCUCCCAUAUGGUCGACCUGCAGGCGGCCGCGAAUUCACUAGUGAUUCGUAUUACCGCGGCUGCUGGCACAGAGUUAGCCGGUGCUUAUUCUGUCGGUAACGUCAAAACAGCAAAGUAUUAAUUUACUGCCCUUCCUCCCAACUUAAAGUGCUUUACAAUCCGAAGACCUUCUUCACACACGCGGCAUGGCUGGAUCAGGCUUUCGCCCAUUGUCCAAUAUUCCCCACUGCUGCCUCCCGUAGGAGUCUGGACCGUGUCUCAGUUCCAGUGUGACUGAUCAUCCUCUCAGACCAGUUACGGAUCGUCGCCUUGGUGAGCCAUUACCCCACCAACUAGCUAAUCCGACCUAGGCUCAUCUGAUAGCGCAAGGCCCGAAGGUCCCCUGCUUUCUCCCGUAGGACGUAUGCGGUAUUAGCGUCCGUUUCCGAACGUUAUCCCCCGCUACCAGGCAGAUUCCUAGGCAUUACUCACCCGUCCGCCGCUCUCAAGAGAAGCAAGCUUCUCUCUACCGCUCGACUUGCAUGUGUUAGGCCUGCCGCCAGCGUUCAAUCUGAGCCAUGAUCAAACUCUAAUCGAAUUCCCGCGGCCGCC
rnacentral:rRNA from 1 species